GCAUCUUAGUUUUGUUCAGUAUUAAUAGUAAAAAAAACUGUCUCCAUGCGUUGGAUGCGUUUAUUUCUACUGCGUCAGACACAUUUCAAUGCUAAAUUUCAGUGCCGUGGAAAUAUGGAAACAAGGAUGUAUGGUAUAUUAUGAUUCAGAGAGGAGCUAACUCAGUCACAAAUUAGGUAUAGAAUCUAACAGCGAUUUCAUCAGAUCCUGGAGCUUUGUUCAAUUUUAAUGAUUGCAGCAGUGUUUUUCCAGCAUCACUGAUACUAGUGUGAAAAAUGCCCAAUGAUGCAUUUGGUUAAAUGCACUAUGCUUCUUAUCUUGCUGGCAUAUGCAGCUUGUGAACAUCAUGCUGAAAACCUGG